UAGGGAAUCUUGGACAAUGGGCGCAAGCCUGAUCCAGCCAUGCCGCGUGAGUGACGAAGGCCUUAGGGUUGUAAAACUCUUUCGCACGUGACGAUAAUGACGGUAACGUGAGAAGAAGCCCCGGCUAACUUCGUGCCAGCAGCCGCGGUAAUACGAAGGGGGCUAGCGUUGUUCGGAUUUACUGGGCGUAAAGCGCGUGUAGGCGGGCCAAUAAGUUGGAGGUGAAAGCCCAGGGCUCAACCCUGGAAUU
rnacentral:rRNA from 1 species